CUCAUGUCCACCAGUACCUGAGAAAGUGGCCUCGCUCGGAAGCAAGGCUUCUCCAUAGUGGGGCAGGCUCUCUGGACACCCCUCCGCAGUCAGGGCCCACCCAUGGCUGCCCUGCCCAGGCCUGGGCACAGCUGCACUGACUGUUCCUGGCAGCCUCACCGGUGCAGGCCACCCUGCUGCUCCAGCUCAGUCCAGCACAGGUGUUCUCGCUCUGGGGUUGGCCUGGCGCUGACCUGUGCACCUGACAGGGAAGGGACCAGCCUGUUCACCCCACACCCAGCCCUGUGACAGAGGUGCUGUCGCGUGGCCCCACUUACAGAUGGGUCAACUGAGGCCCGGGGCAUCUGUCCACUUGUCAUGACAGUGAGCGGCCAAGCUGGAUGUGAACCCAGGUUUUUGUAUGCUGCCGCCCGGUGGGGUUGGGGAGGACUUAGUGGCACCCACUGACCUCCCACUGGGGAUCGGGGUCAGGGAGUGAAGUAAGUGCCUGGCUCUCCGAGCACCCUGGGGCAGCCCCUCCAGCCUGGGAGAGCCAGCUCACAUCUGGGCAGUUGGUGAGGCCAGCUCCUGCCAUCUCGGGUCCCCAUGCGCUUCUCAGAUGUGAAAGCCCCUUGCUGGCCUCCACAGACCCUCACAGACGGCCUCACAGGCCAACACCCAGCGGCUGCACUGCCCAUGGUCACUAUCUCUGCAGCCCGCGUGUGCGGCCAGUGUCCCUCCGGUGACCCCAGGCCCAGGUGCCCGGCUGUUGGUCCUGCCAGCAUCGUGAGCCGUGGUCUGCCGUCCUGGCACAUCCUGAAUGGAGGUGCACGCAUAGAGGCUGCCUGUGAAUCUCCUGCGCUUCCUCAGAGGGAUUUGCCCCCUUCUGGGACGUGCCCUGGGGACGGUCAGUUCUCCCAAAUAGUGACUUCCUUUCUCCACAUAAUGAGAGCCUUUGGCUGAGGGAUUGGGAGGACCAGGAAAAAGCCGCCAGGCCACGUGGGGCGUGACUUGGCGAUCCCGGUGGCUCCGGGCGUCAGCUUGGACCUCAGACGCCCCUCACAGCUCACAGCCCUGUGGCCUGCUCUGAGGGCCCCGCCCGCCGCCGAGCCCCCGGGAGCCGGAGAACCCGCAGGACGUCAGCCGGGUGGAUUCCCUCCCACUGCCCCUGACCCCACUGCCCAGCGCCUUCAGGACUAGCGGAUGAUGGACUUGUGCUAAACUGGCUACGACCCCUCCGGAGCAGGGUCCUGGGUAAAUCAGCAGUGAGCUGCAGGCUCAGCCAGCCGCCGCCUUUGGUUUCCUCCCGCCGCCGGCUCACCCCACCUCAGACCCGAGCUAGCUCUCCAGCCUGGUUCCUCUGCCGGACCCUCCUCCCGGGCACCUCCCACGCCCCGCCCUCAAGCCCCGCCCCUCAAGCCC
rnacentral:lncRNA from 10 species